UGACUGCAGCAUCACUGUCAUUUCUAAAGCUUCCAUCAGCCUGAAUGGAAACAGAGCACAGCAAGAGGAGGAGCUCCACAACUGAAUAUGAAAGGCUUCAUGUUGGAAGUGAAGAGCUGCUGUGUUCUCUCUAUUGUUCAUUCAGUACAAGUGGAAAUGAUGCAGCUCUGCUUAGUUUGGAUGAUCAUCUUCAUGUUUCACACUGGAUCCUCUGAGGAUUUAGUGAAACCAUUUAAAGAUGUAAUGCUGGCUUUGGAAGGAGACUCUGUGACUCUCUCCUGCAACUAUUCAGGAUCUUUUGACUUCUUCUUCUGGUAUCAACAGAAGUCCAGUUCAUCUCCACAGUUCUUCCUCUCAGAUUAUUCAAAGAAACCAGGUUUUUCUUUUGCACAUGACAAAACAGCAAAGGAGUUUCAUCUGCAGAUCUCCUCUGCUGCAGUGACAGACUCUGCUGUGUACUACUGUGCUGUGACGCCCACAGUGACAGGAAACACCAAAACUCUGUACAAAAACCUUUGGAGCAAAGACAACAGAAUACUCCACAACGUCCACUAGAGGGAGUCACACACUGUUAAACUUCAGUGGUUUAUGAUCUGAAUUUGUGGUGCUGGUGAUUAAACAAAACAAAACAAUGCAGCAGCAGCAUGUGGAAGAUACUACAAGUUCUGAAAUGUUAUUUUAAAUCAAUUCCGACAAAGGAUGAUAAUGAUGUUGGAUGGUGUUUAUAUAAAGAGAGACUAUCAGCAGCCUAAUAGCUGAGAGUUCUCAACCAAGGAAGUCCUUUCUCUCCACUGCUGUUUGAUCCUUAAGGAGUAAAUAAUUAAAAUGUCCAUUCUGUAAAAACA